UCCAGAUGGUUUUUCUGAAAUUUCAUUAAGGUAGGUCAGCGUCAUUUGUCUCUGUUUAGGUAAAAUAUAAAAACCCUGCCCAGUAGCAGUGGCAUCGCUUGGUUCCUGAUGCCCAUGUUCCAGAGGAAUUCGGAUACCACAAACAGCUAAGACAAUCUCAGCUUUUCUUAGACAAUCUUCUAUCUCAAACUUCAGACAUUCCAGAAUUGUCAUGAUGUUUACACUGUCUGAGUUAAAAAUCCUGUUC
rnacentral:lncRNA from 1 species